GGCUGCGCGUGUCCGCGGUGGGACGGGUAGCCCCCCAUGACAAAUUUUGCUGGCCCGCGACCUCAUUGCCCCACUAGGAAAAGGCCUGCUUUGCCGGAUGCCCAGUCCAGGCCCACCUGAGAGGUGAUUCUACCGGCAACAGCAUCUGACACAAUAGCAAAAAAAUUGCUAUAAAAAACAGCGAAGUCUGUGUGGUUGUGUUAGGAGGCCAUUCCCAC